GCCUGCAUGAAGUCGGAAUUGCUAGUAAUCGCAGAUCAGCAUGCUGCGGUGAAUACGUUCCCGGGCCUUGUACACACCGCCCGUCACACCAUGGGAGUCGGUAACACCCAAAGUUGGUAGCCUAACCGCAAGGAGGGCGCCGCCUAAGGUGGGAUUGAUGACUGGGGUGAAGUCGUAACAAGGUAGC
rnacentral:rRNA from 1 species